rnacentral:tRNA from 1 species
ACCGAAAUAGUUCAUUUGGGACAGCGUUGGACCAUAGAUCAAAAGGUCCCUGGUUCGAUCCUGGGACUCGGCA